AGCUCCGAGGUGUUUCACAUAUAAGGUUGCAAACCUUAAGUAGCAGGCUCACUACCUGCCGGGGCUU
rnacentral:tRNA from 1 species